GCCGGGUAAAGGGCGGAAGCGAAAUUCUAAUCCCAGAGAUGACCAUUGACUUCUCCGGCAGUGCCUCAUUAAUCUGUGGAAGACAUCAGACAUGGCUACCGCUGGCUGAACUUCCCUCCCUUAGACGCAUGCCCUUGCGGUCCCGACAGUGCACCGCCGUAAAUCCGGAGAUACGGGAGGACGUAGAAGCGGCGCUGAGGCUUUGGGGCAAGUCAUGUGAUGUCACGGGGCGCCACAGUUGCAGUGGCCCCGUGACCCUGUGGCGCAAACGAUGCACUCUUUCAACUGGCCAUGGAGAACUUUAGUUUCGAUUCUUGCGGGAGUUGAAGAUCUUCAGCUCCUGGGAACAUCUUUGUCUGAGAUCACGCCCACUGCAACACGAACCUCAGCAUGUGGGAGUGAUGGUACACUACCAGAUUGUUCUUCCAGUGGAAGAACACUACUCAUGCAUCCCUCCAAGAAUAAAGACUGCGAGGGUAAAUAUAACAGACCAUCCAGAUCGUUUCAUUGAUUAUUCUAUGCAUUAGUGAGUAAUUGUCUACAUUAACCUCUUCAACUAAUGACUACGAGCCAGGCCUGAGUAAAGACAGGGAAGAACACCAAUCCGUAAUCCUCACGCAAUUAUGUGACAAUUGUUACAUGAUAUAUUUUUAUCACAAUUGAAUUGGGGACACAAGAAGAUUUGUAGGCCCUCGUGAGAAAACGUACAAAAAUACUUUAAGAAGUAACUCAAGCAGUAGUGAAAUAAUACUCAUCAGAAGAUACUGUGAAAAAAACACGUAACACUUCUGCACUUAUGUGGGUGUUCAAAUGUGUGCAUCUUUGACAAAAGGACAUAAGAGCUUCUUUCCCUUCCAUGACUGCAAAGGCCUAGGCAGCCCAAAGCAGCAUGUCGUCUUCACCCAGGACCCUCAGGCACACGGCAGUGUGACCCUGAUGUCCUGCGGGCAUUCAUUUCUGAACCUCCAUUUAGUGGGGUUCUCGCCGUGAGAUAUAGAGCAUUUCCCUCUGGUGAUCACAGAUAACUCUAGGCAGGGGCAUUCAAACCCACAUGCCCUUACUAACAGUCUGGCCAAAGGCGUUUUCCUUAAACUAUGGUCUUCUCCUCUCAAAGUUUUCCCACAUGAAAUGUCAGCCUACAACUACGCUGUUGUCUGGUCUAUGAAUCAGCCUUUUUCUUGGCUUAAAAAUCAGCCAAAUCUUAUAAAAUAUCAACUGCAGACUGUACAUAAACACAGAUUGAGGGAAUGGUAAUCUCUUGCUCAGUCCUCCUCAGAAUGACCACACUCGGAUUAGUUUGGCUAACCCUUUAGUUAAGUGUCAACGGCCGGGCAUAGGCAACGACAGAAACUAAUUACCCGUAGUUUCUUUAUCCCGUCUGAAAUGGUAAGGUACUGCUAAAGUGAAGAACAAACAAUAGGACUCCUCUGAUCAUUGUGAGGACACAGCGAGGAAUGGGAUUAGCCAAAAAUCAAAGAAAGUCUGCUCUAGCUGCUCACAGAAUAACUCAAGAAUUAGCCAAGGUUUCCGAGCCGCUAAGCAGGCGGACGGGCCCCAUCCCCUUCUCAUGUGCUUAACUCACUUUCAUCCAAAAUUGCUUAAUUCUAUGUGAUUCACGUCAAGUGGGCUAGUCACAUCAAGUGGGCUACAGGUCAAGAACAUGCCCCCCCCCCUUCAGAAACCCAGAGCUGCUGAGGAGGCCCUAUACCUUCCAUAAAGAGUAUCAUCACCAUUCUACCAACAGGUGGAAGAUUUGCCUGCGGAUAGG